GAACGCUAGCUACAGGCUUAACACAUGCAAGUCGAGGGGCAGCAUCAUCAAAGCUUGCUUUGAUGGAUGGCGACCGGCGCACGGGUGAGUAACACGUAUCCAACCUGCCGACAACACUGGGAUAGCCUUUCGAAAGAAAGAUUAAUACCGGAUGGUAUAGUUUUCCCGCAUGGGAUAAUUAUUAAAGAAUUUCGGUUGUCGAUGGGGAUGCGUUCCAUUAGGCAGUUGGCGGGGUAACGGCCCACCAAACCUACGAUGGAUAGGGGUUCUGAGAGGAAGGUCCCCCACAUUGGAACUGAGACACGGUCCAAACUCCUACGGGAGGCAGCAGUGAGGAAUAUUGGUCAAUGGACGAGAGUCUGAACCAGCCAAGUAGCGUGAAGGAUGACUGCCCUAUGAGUUGUAAACUUCUUUUAUACGGGAAUAAAGUUAGCCACGUGUGGUUUUUUUGUAUGUACCGUAUGAAUAAGGAUCGGCUAACUCCGUGCCAGCAGCCGCGGUAAUACGGAGGAUCCGAGCGUUAUCCGGAUUUAUUGGGUUUAAAGGGAGCGUAGGCGGGUUGUUAAGUCAGUUGUGAAAGUUUGCGGCUCAACCGUAAAAUUGCAGUUGAUACUGGCGACCUUGAGUGCAACAGAGGUAGGCGGAAUUCGUGGUGUAGCGGUGAAAUGCUUAGAUAUCACGAAGAACUCCGAUUGCGAAGGCAGCUUACUGGAUUGUAACUGACGCUGAUGCUCGAAAGUGUGGGUAUCAAACAGGAUUAGAUACCCUGGUAGUCCACACAGUAAACGAUGAAUACUCGCUGUUGGCGAUAUACAGUCAGCGGCCAAGCGAAAGCAUUAAGUAUUCCACCUGGGGAGUACGCCGGCAACGGUGAAACUCAAAGGAAUUGACGGGGGCCCGCACAAGCGGAGGAACAUGUGGUUUAAUUCGAUGAUACGCGAGGAACCUUACCCGGGCUUAAAUUGCAACUGACGGAACCGGAAACGGUUCUUUCUUCGGACAGUUGUGAAGGUGCUGCAUGGUUGUCGUCAGCUCGUGCCGUGAGGUGUCGGCUUAAGUGCCAUAACGAGCGCAACCCUUACGGGUAGUUACCAUCAGGUUAUGCUGGGGACUCUACCCGGACUGCCGUCGUAAGAUGUGAGGAAGGUGGGGAUGACGUCAAAUCAGCACGGCCCUUACGUCCGGGGCUACACACGUGUUACAAUGGGGGGUACAGAAGGCAGCUACACGGCGACGUGGUGCUAAUCCCAAAAGCCUCUCUCAGUUCGGAUUGGAGUCUGCAACCCGACUCCAUGAAGCUGGAUUCGCUAGUAAUCGCGCAUCAGCCACGGCGCGGUGAAUACGUUCCCGGGCCUUGUACACACCGCCCGUCAAGCCAUGAAAGCCGGGGGUACCUGAAGUACGUAACCGCGAGGAGCGUCCUAGGGUAAAACUGGUGAUUGGG
rnacentral:rRNA from 1 species